GGAAUCAUAGACAAUGGGGGAAACCCUGACCUUGCCAUGCCGCGUGAGCGAUGAAGGCCCUAGGGUUGUAACGCUCUUUCACCCGCGAAGAUAAUCACGGUAGCGGGCGCAGAAACCCCGGCUAACUCCGUGCCAGCAGCCGCGGUAAUACGGAGGGGGUUAGCGUUGUUCGGAAUUACUGGGCGUAAAGCGCACGUAGGCGGAUCGGAAAGUUGGGGGUGAAAUCCCGGGGCUCAACCCUGGAACUGCCUUCAAAACUGUCGGUCUGGAGUCCGAGAGAGGUGAGUGGAACUCCGAGUGUAGAGGUGAAAUUCGUAGAUAUUCGGAAGAACACCAGUGGCGAAGGCGGCUCACUGGCUCGGUACUGACGCUGAGGUGCGAAAGCGUGGGGAGCAAAC
rnacentral:rRNA from 1 species